rnacentral:rRNA from 1 species
GAUGAACGCUGGCGGCGUACCUAAUACAUGCAAGUCGAGCGAACAGACGAGGAGCUUGCUCCUCUGACGUUAGCGGCGGACGGGUGAGUAACACGUGGAUAACCUACCUAUAAGACUGGGAUAACUUCGGGAAACCGGAGCUAAUACCGGAUAAUAUAUUGAACCGCAUGGUUCAAUAGUGAAAGACGGUUUUGCUGUCACUUAUAGAUGGAUCCGCGCCGCAUUAGCUAGUUGGUAAGGUAACGGCUUACCAAGGCAACGAUGCGUAGCCGACCUGAGAGGGUGAUCGGCCACACUGGAACUGAGACACGGUCCAGACUCCUACGGGAGGCAGCAGUAGGGAAUCUUCCGCAACGGGCGAAAGCUUGACGGAGCAACGCCGCGUGAGUGAUGAAGGUCUUCGGAUCGUAAAACUCUGUUAUUAGGGAAGAACAAAUGUGUAAGUAACUAUGCACGUCUUGACGGUACCUAAUCAGAAAGCCACGGCUAACUACGUG